CGGACGGGGUGAGUAAUGUCUGGGAAACUGCCUGAUGGAGGGGGAUAACUACUGGAAACGGUAGCUAAUACCGCAUAACGUCGCAAGACCAAAGAGGGGGACCUUAGGGCCUCUUGCCAUCGGAUGUGCCCAGAUGGGAUUAGCUUGUUGGUGGGGUAACGGCUCACCAAGGCGACGAUCCCUAGCUGGUCUGAGAGGAUGACCAGCCACACUGGAACUGAGACACGGUCCAG
rnacentral:rRNA from 1 species